rnacentral:lncRNA from 1 species
UCUCGCCCUGAUGCUCAUCUGCCAUGAGAUGAGCAGCUUUGCUCCACAAUGUGCUUCCACAAUGAUGUUCUCCCUGGAGACAGGCUCAAAAGCUGACCAUAGACUGAAACUAUGAGCCAAAAUAAGUCUUUCCUCCUUGAAAAUUGAUUAUCUCAGGUACUUUCUUCCCAGCAAUGGAAAGCUGGCUUACAGAUGGACUGUGCUGCAUGUGGAAGGGGGAUCCUGCUGCACACCUGUGACAGUGUUGAAGGUUGCAACAUCGUCAUCCCACAUGUGGCCUGGUGGAUGUAGGAAUGAUUAUCAAGACAAGAGUCUCCCCCAGCCCCUGCCACCCAAGAGGAAGGUGACAGGAAUAUGAGUUGGAUCCUGUAGCAUCUUCCUACUAGGAGGCCUUCCUCUGACAACAGCCCUGGCGAUCUGGUUUUUACUUUUAUGAAAGGGGCUUAUAUUCUUGUGUAGGUUCCAAGAGUAUAAAGAAGGAGCAGCAAAAAGACUUGAUUUGUUUUCAGCAAUAAUUGGAAUGCUGGAGAAGGCUGCCUUUGUCUUCCUCUCUAGACGUCAGAAAUUAGAGACAGUCCUGAUGUCAUGAAGCUUGAGUGAUGUGCCCCAAACUCACGUACAUACAUAGGAACAAAAAAUUGAUAACAAGCCAAUACAUGUGAAAAUUGCCUGGGCGCAGCCCUUAUAAUUAUCCCCCAGUUUUUGUGGUAGAAAGGUGCUACAAUUUGGAUGUGUUUUGUCUGCUAAGCAUUCAUGUGUUGAAAGCUGUUCCUCAUUAGGGAAAUGUGACAAGUGGUGGAAACUUUAAGAGGUGGGACCUGCUGGGUGUGAUGGCACAUGCCUGUAAUUCCAACUGCUAGGGAAAAAAUCACAAGUUCAAAGCCAGACUCAGCAAUUUAGCAAGGCCUUAAGCAACUUAGCAAGACCCUGUCUCAAAAUAAAAAAGGGCUGGGAAUGUGGCUCAGUGGUUAAGUGCCCCUGGGUUCAGAUCCUGGUACAAAAAAAAAAAAAAGUGGGACAUAUAAUAACAUGAGUAGGUCACUAGGGGUGCUACCCUUAGAAGAGAUUAAUAUAGUUUUAAUAGGACUCUGGAUAGUACCUCUCCCUCUAGGACAUGUUUCUACCGUGAUUCUAUCCACCAUGAAGUCUUCACAAAAGGGCAAACAAAUGGAGCUAACAGGUCUUGACCUUUUAGCCUCCAAAACUGUGAGCUAAAUAAACCAUUUUUCUUUAUACAUUAUGCAGCCUCAGGUAUUUUGUUAUAGCAACAGAAAACACACUAAUGCAAAAAGAACUCUUCAA